AUGACAGAUUUUGUGGCUUGGAGCUAUACAAAGACGGGUGUUUUUUCAGUGAGGUCUGCCUAUCACGCAGUCUGGGAGACUCAGUUCGGACAACGGUUACAACAUGUUGGCAGCUCGUCUACAAUUACGCCCGCUUGGGAUUCUAUAUGGUCUCUGAGUUGUCCAGGGAAAGUCAAAAUUUUCACUUGGAGAGCACUUAACAACUCAAUACCUUGCCGAGCGAACCUGUCUGACAGGCACAUUAAAAUCUCACCACAAUGCCCAGUAUGUCAUGAUGGUCCUGAAACACUUUGGCACCUCCUGUUCGUGUGUCCGUUGGAAGUGGAGGUUUGGAAAUUGCUUGGUUUGUUUGAUGUGAUAAAGCAAGGUCUGCUCAUGGACAAAUCUGGAGAAAGGGUGUUGGAGUUUCUUAUGAAUCUUCCUGAGAACUAUAUCCACGUCCUGGGACUGACGAAACUGAAGGAAACAAUUGCUACUUGCUGCUGGUACUUGUGGUGGGAAAGGAGGAAGCAUGCGCAUGGGGGAACACCGCAAAAUGCAUCCCAGGUUAGCCUAGCAGUUUGA
rnacentral:rRNA from 1 species